GACAGGGGUGUAAAGUUGACGGAAGAAAGGCCAAAGGGAAACUGCUUAAAAGAUCUAUUUUAAAUUACUUGCUGUUUAGGUUUCUUAAUGCUCCAGCCCAUCUGGAAUUCCCAGCAGAAUACACUCUGUACAUGCCUGUUCAUCCCGUGCUUUCGCAAACUCCCAGCACACUGCUGUGCACAUUUAAAGGCACUCUAAAAAACUAACAACUGAAUGUUGUUUGAAAAAAAAUUGACUGGCUCCUCCCAUCAGCUGUUUUUGUCUGCACCUAGAUAAUGCCAUAUAUCUGGAUGAAAAGAACAAAUUCUACCAACUAUCAGGUGAGCUAUCUGAGGAUCCGAGAAUCAAGAGCCCCUGCCUUGGAUGAGGCCUUGUCCAGGCAGUGGCAGUGAGACUGGGAGAAACAUCUCAUCUUGCUCCCCAAGGGUAAAGCUGACAGCUCUCCUGGAGACGUACAGGAAGGCAUUUUGGCUUCAGAUCUUCUGAAUCAAGCGCAACUUGCUGGCAUCCUGACUGCUUCAGGGAGGCACCAUUGUCACCUUUGAGAUGGAGUCUUAGAAGGCUUUCUUCCAGCCAGUUGUAAACUGCCUCGUGGCUAUCUUUCCUUCUCGACCUCCUGCACUAUGACUCCACAAUCAGCACCAGAAGCAGAAGAAAUAGCUGAACCGAGAAUGUUCCAUCAGCUCCUACAAUUGCGUGGGGUUAAAAUCUCUGUCCAUUUUCAGAAGCAAAUUUUCUACUUUGUGGCAAAAAGACUGCCUCCUGAAGUCCAGCCCACGUUGGGGUGUGGAGAGACAGCCCAUGUGGUAAGAGUAAGCGGACUGCCUUGCCCACUUUGCUUCCUUGGUCCAUGUGCCUCUCCUUCAGGAGCUUGUCAAAUAAGACUUGGAGUAAACUUAUGUACAUAGACACAUGCAUAUUUUUUUCCUUCAGAGAGCCUGUGGUUUAAUAUUUGUCAGCAUAUUACUGUCUCUCCAGAAGAGAAGACCCACUAGAAGGCUGCUGCAAUGGAGACCUAGUACCCAACAGAGGAUGAGAUUUGGAAUUAUGUUCAAGCAAUUACUUAAUUCAGGAAUUAUCUGCUGAAUACCUAAACCAGCGAUGGCAAAUGAAUUUUGUUGAGAAGGAAAUUUAUGCAAGUAAAAUAUUUAUGGGAACGCAUAAUCACAAGGGUUUCAUGCUGCUUAUAUUGGUGUGCUAUGUUUUCUUCAAGCCUGGAGGUGAAAUUCAUGUCUUGGUGUAAGGCAGCUGAAACUUCCAUAGAAAACCUACUGCCCUCCUGACCUGAGGAAUCAGAGGACAGAGCUUAUGGCCGCUAUCGCUGAAGGAACGUGAAGGGGGCGUUACAGAAAGGAGAGCACCAGAAGAUGGAAGUCCCAGUGUCUAGGACCUCUCUUAUUAAGAUGAAUGCAAGUGGUGAGAGCAGAUGUCCUUACCUUGUUCCUGAAGUUAUAGCUAUAAAAUGAAUUCUGGCUGUUCAGCAGGAAGGCCAGCAGGCAAAGGGGCAGCAGGGGGUCAUUCAAGAAGCAUCAGCUGGGGAGACACAGGACAUGGGAUAAGAUACUUUGGUGGGAUGCCCAGUUCCUGUUCGUUUUCUUUACCUGUCAUUGGCCCCCUGACAGGGUGUACUCCAAAUUCCCAGCAUUUCAAUUUCAAGCACUCUUCACAGCGUUUUUCAUGCUAAGCUCCGUGGACAGGUCUGCACAAUGCCAAAUGAAUUGCCAGGCAAGGAGUGAGACUGACAGUUGACCAAUUCUUGAUUUUCAUCCUUGAAUCUGUCAAGACUACUCAUUGGGAAGUGGAUUAACGAUCACAGAAGCCUUUCAGGGUAAGUCUCAGAGGCUACAGGGCUAACCUUACGAAUCCUCUUAGAAGGUGUGCAACAUUCUGCUCUGCAGACUCCUGAAAUUUUAUUUUCAAGGUUGUAGGUGUGUGAUGAUUUGCUUAUUUUGUGUAACUUAUUUUAUGGCUUCCCCCCCAUUACUUAAUAGAUGGAUGUUUUUUCCCCUCUCUGAAGCAUCCCUCUACCUGUAUCCUAAGUAGAUAUAAGGAAAGGCACCCCCUCUUCCUUUUCAGGUGUUCUCUCUUCUACUCAAAGUCUCAGUAGUUUCACUGUCUGACAGUACCAUUUCCUCCCGCUCAGGUGUCCAAGGGAAGCAUUUCUUCAUCUUCUUUUUGGCUCCUAUUAUGCGAGGAUGCCACCAAUUAUAAUGCAGAAACUUCAAGAAGUAGGUUUCCCUGUUGUGUUUCCCUUUAAACAUGUAGUGAAGUAUUUCACAUAAAAUGAGCACCAGUAAUUUUUUCAAAUAUUGAUUGAUUGACCUACCUUUUCAAUAUGAAGUGAUGUAGCAGCCUCAUGGAAUGUUCGUGUUCAUUUCCCAUAUUGCUUUUCUG